rnacentral:rRNA from 1 species
UACGUAGGUCGCAAGCGUUGUCCGGAUUUACUGGGCGUAAAGAGCGCGCAGGCGGCUGGUCAAGUCCGAUGUGAAAUCCCCCGGCUCAACUGGGAAACUGCAUCGGAAACUGAUCGGCUUGAAGAUGGGAGAGGGUAGUGGAAUUCCCGGUGUAGUGGUGAAAUGCGUAGAUAUCGGGAGGAACACCAGUGGCGAAGGCGACUACCUGGCCCAUUCUUGACGCUGAGGCGCGAAAGCUAGGGGAGCGAACGGG